CCUACGGGUGGCAGCAGUGGGGAAUAUUGGGCAAUGGGCGCAAGCCUGACCCAGCAACGCCGCGUGCAGGAAGAAGGCUUUCGGGUUGUAAACUUCUUUUAUCAGGGACGAAACAUGUGACGGUACCUGAUGAAUAAACCACCGCUAACUACGUGCCAGCAGCCGCUGUAAUACGUAGGUGGCAAGCGUUAUCCGGAUUUACUGGUUGUAAAGGUCGUGUGGGCUGGAUGGCAAGUCAGAUGGGAAAACUAGGGGCUCAACCCAUAGCCUGCCUUUGAAACUGGACUGCUUGAGUGCGCGAGAGGUAAGCGGAAUUCCGUGUGUAGCGGUGAAAUGCUUAGAUAUACGGAGGAACACCAGUGGCGAAGGCGGAUUGCUGGACAGCAACUGACGCUGAGGCGCGAAAGCGUGGGGAGCGAACAGGAUUAGAUACCCGUGUAGUC
rnacentral:rRNA from 1 species